rnacentral:rRNA from 1 species
GACGAACGUUGGCGGCGUGCUUAACACAUGCAAGUCGAGCGGAAAGGCCCUUCGGGGUACUCGAGCGGCGAACGGGUGAGUAACACGUGAGUAACCUGCCCCAGACUUUGGGAUAACCCUCGGAAACGGGGGCUAAUACCGGAUACGACACGGCUUCGCAUGGGGUCUGUGUGGAAAGUUUUUCGGUUUGGGAUGGGCUCGCGGCCUAUCAGCUUGUUGGUGGGGUGAUGGCCUACCAAGGCGACGACGGGUAGCCGGCCUGAGAGGGCGACCGGCCACACUGGGACUGAGACACGGCCCAGACUCCUACGGGAGGCAGCAGUGGGGAAUAUUGCACAAUGGGCGGAAGCCUGAUGCAGCGACGCCGCGUGAGGGAUGACGGCCUUCGGGUUGUAAACCUCUUUCAGCAGGGACGAAGCGUAAGUGACGGUACCUGCAGAAGAAGCGCCGGCCAACUACGUG